rnacentral:rRNA from 1 species
GUCUAUGGCUAUACCACCUUGAACAUACCUGAUCUCAUCUGAUCUUAGAAGCUAAGCAGAGUAGGGCCUAGUUAGUACAUGGAUGGAUGACCUUUUGUAUUUUAUCUAUUAGAGAAG